rnacentral:rRNA from 1 species
UACGGGGGGGGGUAAGCGUUGUUCGGAAUUACUGGGCGUAAAGGGCUCGUAGGCGGCCAACUAAGUCAGACGUGAAAUCCCUCAGCUUAACUGGGGAACUGCGUCUGAUACUGGAUGGCUUGGAUUCGGGAGAGGAAUGCGGAAUUCCAGGUGUAGCGGUGAAAUGCGUAGAUAUCUGGAGGAACACCGGUGGCGAAGGCGGCAUUCUGGACCGAUAUUGACGCUGAGGAGCGAAAGCCAGGGGAGCAAAGCGGG